AUGAGAAUGCAGCGAAACUUUUGCUUAAUAACCACGCCGACCCCAGGAAUUCUCUCACGCAGAGGUAAGAACAUUAAAAAAGAAAGGAAGUACAGAGGGUGUGUAACAAUGGAAGAUUGCAUGGAAAGUUCUCCUUUGCUGUUAGUACAUCUUAGGAAAACAUUCAGCUGGAACAUAACCAGUGUAACACUGCUGAUUUCUAACACUAAAACUGAAGUGUAUUUUCCAAGCACCUCUCCUUCCUCUUGGUCUCCUAAGAACACCUGCUUCCCUGAGACAGAGACUUCAGACACAGGCUCAUAG
rnacentral:lncRNA from 1 species